rnacentral:rRNA from 1 species
AGCAUGUGGUUUAAUUCGAAGCAACGCGAAGAACCUUACCAGGUCUUGACAUCCUUCUGACCGGCCUAGAGAUAGGCUUUCUCUUCGGAGCAGAAGUGACAGGUGGUGCAUGGUUGUCGUCAGCUCGUGUCGUGAGAUGUUGGGUUAAGUCCCGCAACGAGCGCAACCCCUAUUGUUAGUUGCCAUCAUUAAGUUGGGCACUCUAGCGAGACUGCCGGUAAUAAACCGGAGGAAGGUGGGGAUGACGUCAAAUCAUCAUGCCCCUUAUGACCUGGGCUACACACGUGCUACAAUGGUUGGUACAACGAGUCGCAAGCCGGUGACGGCAAGCUAAUCUCUUAAAGCCAAUCUCAGUUCGGAUUGUAGGCUGCAACUCGCCUAC